GACGAACGCUGGCGGCGUGCUUAACACAUGCAAGUCGAACGGAAAGGCCCUGCUUUUGUGGGGUGCUCGAGUGGCGAACGGGUGAGUAACACGUGAGUAACCUGCCCUUGACUUUGGGAUAACUUCAGGAAACUGGGGCUAAUACCGGAUAGGAGCUCCUGCUGCAUGGUGGGGGUUGGAAAGUUUCGGCGGUUGGGAAUGGACUCGCGGCUUAUCAGCUUGUUGGUGGGGUAGUGGCUUACCAAGGCUUUGACGGGUAGCCGGCCUGAGAGGGUGACCGGCCCCAUUGGGAAGGGGAAACGGCCCCAGCUCCUUAGGGGGGGAGGAGUGGGGAAUAGUUCACAAGGGGCGGGAGGCCUAGUCAGCCACCCCGCGUGGGGGAUGACGGCCUUUGGGGUGGAAAACCCUUUUCGCUUGGGACAAGCGGGAGGGGCGGGAAAGGGGAAAAAAACACCGGCUAAACAAGGG
rnacentral:rRNA from 1 species